GGACAGGACAAAAUGCACUAAGCUUCCCAAGAGAGAACUUAGUGGUGGCAGAGGUCACCAAUGUAGGAGUACUUCGAGGAAAAGUCAGUGCCAUGGUUUCCAGCAGUGGUUGUGCUGAGGAGGACAUCCAUGCAUGCUGCAGAGUAAAAGUUUUUUUCCUCUCUUCAUGCAAGUGACAGGAAAGGAAGAGGAUUUCUUUACUGAUAAUAUCAGUGCAAGCGGUUUGCAGGGUGCUCAGUGAUCAUACAUGAAGCCAUCCCACUUACUCCUUCAUCAGCUGCUGCUCUCAUUUACCUACUUCUAAACUGUCCCAAAUCUACCCUGCUCCAGAACCAUAAAGCAGAACAGGAUUCUCCUAAACUGCUUCAUGUUUUAAUCAGUAGAAGUCUUCUGUGCUGCUCAUAACAUCUUUCCACUGUUCUUCGAACAAAGAGAAGAAAGAGGGUUUGGUUUUCCCAAGAUCAGUAAGUCCAGAAGAUUUAAACAGCUGUGCAGAGGAGACGCAUUGUCCCAUCCAAAUACAGAGACAAACGCCGUCAGAGUCCUCAUUAGCACUCUGCAUUGUUUUUCACUAAUCAAGUCAGUGUGAAUGAUCCUGCUCGUGAUUGUGCUUGAUUGUAUUAGUGUUACAGAUUGAACAGUCCAUUUUUUAAUCUGCGGAAAGCAGCAGCAUUAUUGCUGAACUAUAUUUAGAGAUUUUGUAGAUAGCAUACUCUGUUCUCUUACUGCUUCACUGUAAUAGGAUCUUACAUGUAGAGCCCCAGGGAAAAGGAAGUGUGCCCUACACAGGUGGCUGUGAGGUAGCUUUGCAUGAUGAACAUGUACAUUUCUGAGUUAGCAGCCACUUCACGUCCUCCUGUCUGACCAACAACCAUG
rnacentral:lncRNA from 7 species